GAUGAACGCUGGCGGCGUGCCUAAUACAUGCAAGUCGAGCGAACAGACGAGGCGCUUGCUCCUCUGACGUUAGCGGCGGACGGGUGAGUAACACGUGGAUAACCUACCUAUAAGACUGGGAUAACUUCGGGAAACCGGCGCUAAUACCGGAUAAUAUAUUGAACCGCAUGGUUCAAUAGUGAAAGACGGUUUUGCUGUCACUUAUAGAUGGAUCCGCGCCGCAUUAGCUAGUUGGUGAGGUAACGGCUUACCAAGGCAACGAUGCGUAGCCGACCUGAGAGGGGGAUCGGCCACACUGGAACUGAGCCACGGACCAGACUCCUACGGGAGGCAGCAGUAGGGAAUCUUCCGCAAUGGGCGAAAGCCUGACGGAGCAACGCCGCGUGAGUGAUGAAGGUCUUCGGAUCGUAAAACUCUGUUAUUAGGGAAGAACAAAUGUGUAAGUAACUAUGCACGGCUUGACGGUACCUAAUCAGAAAGCCACGGCUAACUACGUG
rnacentral:rRNA from 1 species